AACGAACGCUGGCGACAUGCCUAACACAUGCAAGUCGAACGAUGCCUCCGGGCAUAGUGGCGCACGGGUGCGUAACGCGUGGGAAUCUGCCCUUGGGUUCGGAAUAACUCGCCGAAAGGCGAGCUAAUACCGGAUGAUGACGUAAGUCCAAAGAUUUAUCGCCCAAGGAUGAGCCCGCGUAGGAUUAGCUAGUUGGUGGGGUAAAGGCCCACCAAGGCGACGAUCCUUAGCUGGUCUGAGAGUAUGAUCAGCCACACUGGGACUGAGACACGGCCCAGACUCCUACGGGAGGCAGCAGUGGGGAAUAUUGGACAAUGGGCGAAAGCCUGAUCCAGCAAUGCCGCGUGAGUGAUGAAGGCCUUAGGGUUGUAAAGCUCUUUUACCCGGGAUGAUAAUGACAGUACCGGGAGAAUAAGCUCCGGCUAACUCCGUG
rnacentral:rRNA from 1 species